UCAUUAUUUCGUUCGUCCAAGUCUAUCAGAUACUGCAAUUCUUCAGCUGCAUUCGACAUUGGGCACCGUUACCAACGCCCCGUGGACUCAUGCUGCCUCGUCGCGAGAGAGAGGGCAGGAGCUCGUUAUACGAGGGGCCCGACGAAAUUGAAACGGAACGAGCCGAGGAUCUUCUGUUCACCGUCGUUUGAGGACGGCUCUCUUUCUCUCUCUCUCUCAUUCUUCGUCUCGUCCCUUGUACAGACCGAGUCCACUUCGUGAACAGCCGUUCGUGGCUCUGACGUGUAGUUAGUCCAAGAUGGCGAUGCCCAGUGAGUUGUCUCUCGAGGAAAUCCGUAAUUAUUUACUGGAAAACGGAGGUACGGCACGUAACCACGACCUGGUGAAGCAUUUCAGACGGUUCCUGACAGAUCCGGAGACGCGAGUCGAGGCGAGGAAUCGGUUCAAGGAGUAUGUCAAUACCUUGGCCACUAUAAAGAACGAGGAGGGCGAAAAGUUCUUGGUUCUGAAGAAGAAAUAUCGCCAACCCUUCUUAGACUUUUCAUCUCCUCAAAAAGUAGGAUCCCCUCUUGCCACUCCUGAUUUAGCUACUCCAGUUUCUCCAUUGCGAGAGCCUCCACCUUAUCGGCCACCACCCCCUGCACCUCUCAGCCCGUCAUCGAGUAAUUCGCAAACGAGCUUUGAGGAGCCUACGACACCAACUUCCGAACGCGAAGAUAGCCGAAAUGAUAAUUCGGAGGUCGGCACGUCGAUGUCAUCGCCACCUGUUCCACCGCGUCGCAAAAGUCAAGACAAGUUCAAGGUGGAAAACAAGGAAAACGUCGACAAGAAUAGAGGAAGUUUUUCAGAGGCUGCCAUAAAGGAAGAUGAAGCGACGAUGACGGCGAAUCACGCCUCAGCCGAACAGCUCAGCGUUCGCGAGAGGAUGCAACGCUUCAAUCGAAUGGCCAGCGAAACCGAUCUUCACGCCAGGCCUACCGACCCGACCACUCCCGUUAGAAAACGAGCGGAUAAGGGCGCCGACGAGGAUGACAGCGCUUCCGUUGCCUCGCAACUGGAUGGAAAAUCACGUGAGUGGCUGGUCAGAGCGGCGCAGGGGGACUAUCAGGCGCUGGCGAAGCUCGCAGGCGAGGAACCUCGUCUCACCAGAUUCAAGGAUCCGACUUCCGGCUAUACGGCUUUACACUGGGGCGCCAAACACGGCGACGAGAACAUCAUUAAAUUAAUAGCGGGCACCUACAGGGACUACAACAAGAGUAUCAAUGAGACCACGAAUGGGGGAUACACGCCGUUGCAUAUCGCCAUGCAAUUUGGCCACGAGAAUAUCUUCAAUCUCUUAGUUCAAGUAUACGGCGCGAAUCAGGACGUACGUGACUACAGUGGUAAAAAGGCAAGGCAAUAUCUGGUUUCGCAGGAAGCGGCGGUCAGCCAGGAUACGUUUCACAGGAUUACUGCUGCCGCUACGCUCAGAAAUAAAAGCAAGGAAAAAGCAUGCAGAGAAAGAUCUUGGUUUCCUACGAAUUGGCUCAUUGAACGUUCGCGUGAAACGUACGACGGAAGCCUUCAGCCAAUUCUUGGGUGUGGCAACCAGCAGCACGGCUAACAGCAACAACGAGAAGAUUCACAAGUCAUGGGGGUCUGCAGAUAAUGUCCAGCUGGACCAGAAACUGAUGCCACCGCCAAAGUAUGGGCCUAUCAAAAAGCGUAAGAGCAGAAGGCCACAAGACUUUGCAUCGCCUCAGGAUC
rnacentral:misc_RNA from 1 species